AUGGGGACGCGGCUGUCACCGCAUCUAGAGACGGGGGGCGCGGGGUCAGCUCUCAGGAUGCGGGAGGACGGUGAGGCCUGGGCCCCGGCAGGCGGGGGAGCCCCGAAGCACGGCUCCCCGUGUGUAACCGGCGCCCCGAAAGCCGCCCCCACGACUGCGCUUGGAAGCCCAGCUAGGAACUCGAGCUCGGCGAGGGAAAGAGGCCAUGCCGGCCGCUGGGCUCCCGCUCGGCCGCGGAAGGUCAGCUUCCUGCAGGUUGAGCUUCCGCUUCAAGCCCGAGACCGCGUUUUCUUUCUGAGCGAAACCUCCGGCGACCGGAGGCUCCGGGUGAAGAGCCCGGCGGCCGCGCCAGCCUUGCCGGAGGAGCCGCGAACACCCCGGGCGAGUCCGCGCACCUGUCCGCUCCCGGCCCUGCUCCCGCUCGACCGCGCGCUGCGCACCAGACUCGGCCCGAGGAGCUCCGGCCACAGACGUGCUUCAGAGAAACUCGGAUCCUGACCCUACGAUGUCCACUCUGCCUGCACAGUGUCUGCCUCCUGUUUGGAUCGGAACCAUGGCGUCCAAGGCAAAGGCGCAAUGGGAUAAAGCCCCAGACCCCAGCGUCUGGUGAGGAGGAGCCUGGCAGGUGGCCAGGAUCAUCUCUGUGGUGUGAGCACUGAACACAGAUGUUGGCUCCUGACGACUGCUGGGCGCCCCUGCCCCUGGCCUCCAGAACAGAAUCCAGGCCGUUCCAGGUCCUUUCGGGGCUGAAGUUCAUCCAGAGAAAACCAAUUCCCUUCUUGACUUAGGUCUUCCUCUUUCUGAAUGUCAACACUGUCUCGGGUUGUAUUCAUGUUUUGGGUAGAAACUAAUCUCUUAGCUAAUGAGGUGAGUAAGGGUAACCGCAUACAAAGAAACCUCACUUACAGCUGAGUGCUAACUACAUUUUAAACCACCUUAACCCCAAAUCCAGGUAUGAUAGCAGAAAAGCUAGAAAUAAAUUAUUUUCGUGUCUGUCUAAUAAAUCA
ensembl:lncRNA